GCGAAGGGGUGACCCACGCUGGAGCGUUGCGAAGUAAGAAUGUUGGCACAAGUAACCACAAUGCGGGUGAGAAACCCGCACGCCGAAAGAACAAGGUUUCCCUCUCAACGUUUGUCGGAGAGGGGUUAGUCGGUCCUAAGGGAAUGGUGAGAACCGCACCCGAUGGACACACGGUUAAUAUUCCGUGACUGUUUUUGCAAGUGAUGGGAGGACGGAGACGAGUAUGUAUCGCGCAUUAUCGGAUUUGACGUCCGUGCUUUCAGGAAGUGCACGAGGAAAAACCCGGACACUAGCUUCAAUGCUAAUUCCAAGAAGAGCGGAAAUGCUCGGCCUCGGCCGGGCAAAUGAUACAAAGCCAUCUUCCAAGAAAAUUCUCUAAACUUAUUGCAAGAACAACCGUACCGCAAACCGACACAGGUGUUCAGCUCGAGUAGAGCAAGGCGAACGAGUGAGACGUCCCCAAGGAACUCGGCAAAAAAGCAGCCGUAACUUCGGAAUAAGGCUUGCCCUGGGCAUCACAUUGGGUGUGAUGCCAAGUUAAGAAGUUGAAUAAGUUAAACAAGUUGUAUAAGUUUGAAUUCAAAACUUAUUAAACUUAAGCGAAGCGUAACUUAUAAAACUUAUUAAACUUGAACAUCGCGCGUAGCGUGAUGCUCGGGGCCGCAGCUAAAGUAUCUCUGGCAACUGUUUAUCAAAAACACAGCUCCCUGCGAACUCGCAAGAGGAUGUAUAGGGGGUGACACCUGACCAAUGCCAGAAGGUCAAACACGGAGGGUCUUAUUAUCUUCGGAUAAAAAGGCUGGACUGUGUAAGCCCUGGUGAAUGUCGGCCGUAACUAUAACGGUCCUAAGGUUCUGAAACUUUCAUAGGAAAGUUUCAGAAGGACUAGGACUGUUUGGAUACGGAAUAAACAGUUGAAUGAUUAAAUUACACAAAACGCUACCUUACUUCGUGGUA
rnacentral:rRNA from 1 species